rnacentral:rRNA from 1 species
UUAAGCGACUAAGCGUACACGGUGGAUGCCCUGGCAGUCAGAGGCGAUGAAGGACGUGCUAAUCUGCGAUAAGCGUCGGUAAGGUGAUAUGAACCGUUAUAACCGGCGAUUUCCGAAUGGGGAAACCCAGUGUGAUUCGUCACACUAUCAUUAACUGAAUCCAUAGGUUAAUGAGGCGAACCGGGGGAACUGAAACAUCUAAGUACCCCGAGGAAAAGAAAUCAACCGAGAUUCCCCCAGUAGCGGCGAGCGAACGGGGAGCAGCCCAGAGCCUGAAUCAGUGUGUGUGUUAGUGGAAGCGUCUGGAAAGGCGUGCGAUACAGGGUGACAGCCCCGUACACAAAAAUGCACAUAUUGUGAGCUCGAUGAGUAGGGCGGGACACGUGGUAUCCUGUCUGAAUAUGGGGGGACCAUCCUCCAAGGCUAAAUACUCCUGACUGACCGAUAGUGAACCAGUACCGUGAGGGAAAGGCGAAAAGAACCCCGGCGAGGGGAGUGAAAAAGAACCUGAAACCGUGUACGUACAAGCAGUGGGAGCACGUUUAGGGGUGUGACUGCGUACCUUUUGUAUAAUGGGUCAGCGACUUAUAUUCUGUAGCAAGGUUAACCGAAUAGGGGAGCCGAAGGGAAACCGAGUCUUAACUGGGCGUUAAGUUGCAGGGUAUAGACCCGAAACCCGGUGAUCUAGCCAUGGGCAGGUUGAAGGUUGGGUAACACUAACUGGAGGACCGAACCGACUAAUGUUGAAAAAUUAGCGGAUGACUUGUGGCUGGGGGUGAAAGGCCAAUCAAACCGGGAGAUAGCUGGUUCUCCCCGAAAGCUAUUUAGGUAGCGCCUCGUGAAUUCAUCUCCGGGGGUAGAGCACUGUUUCGGCAAGGGGGUCAUCCCGACUUACCAACCCGAUGCAAACUGCGAAUACCGGAGAAUGUUAUCACGGGAGACACACGGCGGGUGCUAACGUCCGUCGUGAAGAGGGAAACAACCCAGACCGCCAGCUAAGGUCCCAAAGUCAUGGUUAAGUGGGAAACGAUGUGGGAAGGCCCAGACAGCCAGGAUGUUGGCUUAGAAGCAGCCAUCAUUUAAAGAAAGCGUAAUAGCUCACUGGUCGAGUCGGCCUGCGCGGAAGAUGUAACGGGGCUAAACCAUGCACCGAAGCUGCGGCAGCGACGCUUAUGCGUUGUUGGGUAGGGGAGCGUUCUGUAAGCCUGUGAAGGUGUGCUGUGAGGCAUGCUGGAGGUAUCAGAAGUGCGAAUGCUGACAUAAGUAACGAUAAAGCGGGUGAAAAGCCCGCUCGCCGGAAGACCAAGGGUUCCUGUCCAACGUUAAUCGGGGCAGGGUGAGUCGACCCCUAAGGCGAGGCCGAAAGGCGUAGUCGAUGGGAAACAGGUUAAUAUUCCUGUACUUGGUGUUACUGCGAAGGGGGGACGGAGAAGGCUAUGUUGGCCGGGCGACGGUUGUCCCGGUUUAAGCGUGUAGGCUGGUUUUCCAGGCAAAUCCGGAAAAUCAAGGCUGAGGCGUGAUGACGAGGCACUACGGUGCUGAAGCAACAAAUGCCCUGCUUCCAGGAAAAGCCUCUAAGCAUCAGGUAACAUCAAAUCGUACCCCAAACCGACACAGGUGGUCAGGUAGAGAAUACCAAGGCGCUUGAGAGAACUCGGGUGAAGGAACUAGGCAAAAUGGUGCCGUAACUUCGGGAGAAGGCACGCUGAUAUGUAGGUGAAGUCCCUUGCGGAUGGAGCUGAAAUCAGUCGAAGAUACCAGCUGGCUGCAACUGUUUAUUAAAAACACAGCACUGUGCAAACACGAAAGUGGACGUAUACGGUGUGACGCCUGCCCGGUGCCGGAAGGUUAAUUGAUGGGGUCAGCGCAAGCGAAGCUCUUGAUCGAAGCCCCGGUAAACGGCGGCCGUAACUAUAACGGUCCUAAGGUAGCGAAAUUCCUUGUCGGGUAAGUUCCGACCUGCACGAAUGGCGUAAUGAUGGCCAGGCUGUCUCCACCCGAGACUCAGUGAAAUUGAACUCGCUGUGAAGAUGCAGUGUACCCGCGGCAAGACGGAAAGACCCCGUGAACCUUUACUAUAGCUUGACACUGAACAUUGAGCCUUGAUGUGUAGGAUAGGUGGGAGGCUUUGAAGUGUGGACGCCAGUCUGCAUGGAGCCGACCUUGAAAUACCACCCUUUAAUGUUUGAUGUUCUAACGUGGACCCGUGAUCCGGGUUGCGGACAGUGUCUGGUGGGUAGUUUGACUGGGGCGGUCUCCUCCUAAAGAGUAACGGAGGAGCACGAAGGUUGGCUAAUCCUGGUCGGACAUCAGGAGGUUAGUGCAAUGGCAUAAGCCAGCUUGACUGCGAGCGUGACGGCGCGAGCAGGUGCGAAAGCAGGUCAUAGUGAUCCGGUGGUUCUGAAUGGAAGGGCCAUCGCUCAACGGAUAAAAGGUACUCCGGGGAUAACAGGCUGAUACCGCCCAAGAGUUCAUAUCGACGGCGGUGUUUGGCACCUCGAUGUCGGCUCAUCACAUCCUGGGGCUGAAGUAGGUCCCAAGGGUAUGGCUGUUCGCCAUUUAAAGUGGUACGCGAGCUGGGUUUAGAACGUCGUGAGACAGUUCGGUCCCUAUCUGCCGUGGGCGCUGGAGAACUGAGGGGGGCUGCUCCUAGUACGAGAGGACCGGAGUGGACGCAUCACUGGUGUUCGGGUUGUCAUGCCAAUGGCACUGCCCGGUAGCUAAAUGCGGAAGAGAUAAGUGCUGAAAGCAUCUAAGCACGAAACUUGCCCCGAGAUGAGUUCUCCCUGACCCUUUAAGGGUCCUGAAGGAACGUUGAAGACGACGACGUUGAUAGGCCGGGUGUGUAAGCGCAGCGAUGCGUUGAGCUAACCGGUACUAAUGAACCGUGAGGCUUAACCUU